UCAAAAUACAGAUAAAUUCCUGCACUCGUACGCAUUCGCGGCAAGCAUAAUUCGCAUAAUUCAUUUAAACAAUAACGCACUUGGUCGAGGUGGGGAACGUGCGUUCGACUUAAAUCCAGAUUUAGAAUACGUAUUCGCCUCAGAUCUACCUGUGUCCAUCAAGUAAAUCAUGGAUCCCCGGGAGUUACAAGUAAUAUAACUCAAAAACAUUUUCUUUUUCAUCCCUAUUACAACAAUAUUAUGAUUUACAAAGUGUUCUUUACAUACUUUAUAUUAAUCGAUCGAUUAAACUCAUCGAUAGUGUCGGUUUUCGUUCACGGAGAAGGAUAUGAACUUUUGCGUCUGCCGCAUUGUGGCUACAAUCACGUCAAGCAACCCAAAAUAAUGCAUGGUAAUGAAUCACAACCCGGCAUGUGCUAUUUUAUUUUAUUACGGUUGAAUUCAUCAAUCGUAGACAAUAUAAAUAACUAUAUUAUUCAUGUGAGUGGCCAUGGAUGGCUGCGCUGGGCUAUGAAGACGACACUCAUCCCUUGAGCUGGCGGUGCGGUGGGUCACUAAUCACGUCCAGACACGUAAUAACCGCUGCGCAUUGUGUAACUUUUACGACUCCAAGUUUAAAAUACGUUCGCCUUGCGUGAUAGUGGUGGACCAUUGACUUCACGGAUAGGUGGGACAAACUACCAAAUAGGACUAGUGUCUUAUGGUCAUAGAUGUGGA